rnacentral:lncRNA from 1 species
CCGGUGUGCAGGGCCACACCAGUCCUCAGAGCCAGUCUGUGGGUCCAGCCUGUGGGUCUGUCGGGAGAUUGCCUGACUCCUCAGCUCUGAGGAGGAGAUGGCCCAGGGAGCUACAGCAGGGACAAAGGUGAGAGGCACAGAGGGAGAUCAGGAAGAGGUGGGACGGGGACAGGAGGCAGAGAGCAGCAGGGGUUUUGCUUUAUUAGACUUAAUCAACACAGCCUCUGUGACUGAAUGGCCACUCUUUGUCGGACACUCAGAUAGGAGCCAUGGGCAGCACAAAGAUGCAUGACCUUUCUACUUGGGGAGCGUGCCGCCUACCCCAAGUGCAUGCAGC